AUUGAACGCUGGCGGCGUGCUUAACACAUGCAAGUCGAACGCGAAAAUGACUUCGGUCAUGAGUAGAGUGGCGCACGGGUGAGUAACGCGUGGAUAAUCUGCCUUUUGUUUGGAAUAACAGUUGGAAACGACUGCUAAUACCGGAUACGCUCCAAUUGAACUUUUUGGAGGAAAGGUGACCUCUGCAUGCAAGUUACCGCAAAGAGAUGAGUCCGCGUCCCAUUAGCUAGUUGGUGAGGUAAUGGCCCACCAAGGCGACGAUGGGUAGCCGAUCUGAGAGGAUGAUCGGCCACACUGGAACUGAAACACGGUCCAGACUCCUACGGGAGGCAGCAGUGGGGAAUAUUGCGCAAUGGGCGAAAGCCUGACGCAGCGACGCCGCGUGAGGGAAAAGAAGGUCUUCGGAUCGUAAACCUCUGUCGGAAGGGAAGAACGUACAUUGUGCCAAUCAGCAGUGUAUUGACGGUACCUUCAAAGGAAGCACCGGCUAACUCCGUGCCAGCAGCCGC
rnacentral:rRNA from 1 species